rnacentral:lncRNA from 1 species
CCAAAAAGUAUCUGCAGCGGACACACCGUCAGACUCUGUCCUCGGCCCCGGGAACAGGGCCUUUCGCUCCAAUGACUGAGCUCCCGCAGCCUCGAACCCAGAGCAGCUGCUCUCAGGACUCCCUUUAUUCCCACGAUGACUCGCACGCUGCAGGUCAGAGCAAAAAGUAGUUAAACGCCAUGUGCCAAAGCGCACGAAUCCCGCGUUCACCUACGGAAACACCCCCGGGGGGGGAAGUGCUCAUUGUACCAGGAGAGGAGAACACAGGAGUCCUGAGCCGGGACAGUGAUUCACCCCAGAGUGAGUCAGACGACCCGACACACACGCACCGCUAUAUAACGGCAACACACAUGGGGUCUCUCGACGACACGGGACCCGAGCCCCAAGAGGUAAGGUGGCUAUGCAGACUUGUUGUUGUUAUGAUGAUGUUUUACUCUGUCUGUCUGGUUCUGUUAUGCAUCGAAAGCUCUUAAUGUCACAGGUAGCCUGUAACUUCUAGGGGAACAAAUUAUAGGAAAAUGAGGAAAUUGAGAUACUGAAACACUGCGCUGCGGAUAAGGGUGUAUUUCAGUCCGUGAGACUUGAAACACAAGAUGUGAAUGUAUAUAGUUGGUCACCAUUGAAUGAGCCACCGCAGGAGGUCAUGACCCUCGGACAUGGGACACAAGGACAGGAAGAGGCCAGCGGUGCUCAGCCCUUGUUACUGUAUCAGUGGCUUCACUUUGUUUUAUCUACCUUUUUAUGCUCCAUUCAUUUCUACUUCUGAUUUUUCCUUUCCCAGAUAACAAUGACCAUACAGGGUAAAUCAUGUAUCCUACAGUUGGAUUUUUGCACAUUUUACUUCCUACCAUGCAAAAUAAACUUUGCACAAGUUCAGAUUAUGAGAUUUUU